GAUGAAGAACGUAGCGAAAUGCGAUACGUAAUGUGAAUUGCAGAAUUCAGUGAAUCAUCGAAUCUUUGAACGCAUAUUGCGCUCUCUGGUAUUCCGGAGAGCAUGCUUGUUUGAGUAUCAGUAAACACCUCAACUUCCAUAUCUUUUUUGAAAUGGGAGUUGGACUUGAGUGAUCCCAACGCUUUUCCUCACCGAAAAGUGGCGGGUUACUUGAAAUGCAGGUGCAGCUGGACUUUUCUCUGAGCUAUAAGCAUAUCUAUUUAGUCUGCCUAAAAAACAGAUUAUUACCUUUGCUGCAGCUAACAUAAAGGAGAUUAGUUCUUGUGCUGACUGAUGCAGGAUUCACAAAAACGGCUUCGGCCGACUUUGUAAACUCGAUCUCAAAUCAAGUAAGACUACCCGCUGAACUUAAGCAUAUCAUAAGCGGAGGA
rnacentral:misc_RNA from 1 species